UGGGGAAUUUUGGACAAUGGGCGCAAGCCUGAUCCAGCAAUGCCGCGUGCAGGAUGAAGGCCUUCGGGUUGUAAACUGCUUUUGUACGGAACGAAAAGGCUCUGGUCAAUACCUGGGGCCCAUGACGGUACCGUAAGAAUAAGCACCGGCUAACUACGUGCCAGCAGCCGCGGUAAUACGUAGGGUGCAAGCGUUAAUCGGAAUUACUGGGCGUAAAGCGUGCGCAGGCGGUGUUGUAAGACAGAGGUGAAAUCCCCGGGCUCAACCUGGGAACUGCCUUUGUGACUGCAACGCUAGAGUACGGCAGAGGGGGAUGGAAUUCCGCGUGUAGCAGUGAAAUGCGUAGAUAUGCGGAGGAACACCGAUGGCGAAGGCAAUCCCCUGGGCCUGUACUGACGCUCAUGCAUGAAAGCGUGGGGAGCAAACA
rnacentral:rRNA from 1 species